rnacentral:lncRNA from 1 species
CGCAUCUCAAUUAAACAUUGCCCACAUAUGUCCGAACAACUCUCGACGUGACACCAGCAAUUUUCCGACUCUAACCGAUUAGCCUUAAGCUGAACAACAGGUAACCCAAACCCGUCCAUUGUUGAAACUCCCAACCAAACAAUUGACGUCUCUAUUCAAUUUGUCAUUAUCAUUUCUGGUUGAUCCACUCACCAAAUUCGUAAAGUGUACCAAUC